UACGGAGGGGGCAAGCGUUAUUCGGAAUUAUUGGGCGUAAAGGGCGCGUAGGCGGCUAGAUGUGUCAAAGGUGAAAUCCCUCGGCUCAACUGAGGAACUGCCUUUGAAACUGUCUGGCUUGAGGCCGGGAGAGGGUAGCGGAAUUCCCAGUGUAGCGGUGAAAUGCGUAGAUAUCUGGAGGAACACCGGUGGCGAAGGCGGCGUCCUGGACCAACACUGACACUGAUGAGCGAAAGCCAGGGGAGCAAACGGG
rnacentral:rRNA from 1 species